AGAGCGAACGCUGGCGGCGUGCUUAACACAUGCAAGUCGAACGAGGUCUGUAGCAAUACAGAUACUCGUGGCGAACGGGUGCGUAACACGUGGAUAACCUUCCUUCAGGUGGGGAAUAACCCAGUGAAAAUUGGGCUAAUACCGCAUAACAUGACGAUGCCACAUGGUGUUGUCUUCAAAGGCGCAAGUCGCCAGAAGAGGGAUCCGCGGCCGAUUAGCUAGUUGGCGAGGUAAUGGCUCACCAAGGCAAUGAUCGGUAGCCGGACUGAGAGGUUGGCCGGCCACACUGGAACUGAGACACGGUCCAGACUCCUACGGGAGGCAGCAGUGGGGAAUCUUGCACAAUGGACGAAAGUCUGAUGCAGCAACGCCGCGUGGGGAUGAAGCUUUUCGGAGUGUAAACCCCUUUCGACCCGGAAGAAGCCCGCAAGGGUUUGACGGUACGGGUAUAAGAAGCCCGGCUAACUACGCGCCAGCAGCCGCGGU
rnacentral:rRNA from 1 species